UUCCAGGACUGGAUCACUGGCUCUUCAAGGAGCUCAGAGCUGCUCUGGGGAGACCUAAAUAUUUGGGGACUUACCCAGGAUGCAGAUAUAUAAAGGAUCAACCACGACACAGCAGUAGAAGUAGAAAAGAAGAGACCCGUUCAAGAGCUUUUAAGAGACUGUAAGCUCCUUCAAGGUGAGCUCCUCAUCCACAUUCGGGUCCUUCUCUGUACCAGAGACGGUGCUGACCAGAUCUGCUGGUGACCAGGAGCUGCUUGUGGAGUGAAUGAAAGAUUCAAGGAGAGCUCAACCAACUGAGGAACUUCCAGCUCUCACCUCCCUGCAGCUUGGAUGCCAUCCUCCUGGAGUGCCAUCCUCCUGGAAUGGCAUCAGGUCUGCUGCGGCAACUCAUCUCUGCCUAUCCUCUGAAGACACCAUUCAAGUAAAGCCAUCUUCUGAAUGGUCCCUGAAAAAUGCUUAGCAAGGUGCCUCAGGCAUGUC